rfam:Schistosoma curassoni strain Dakar, Senegal genome assembly, scaffold: SCTD_contig0011435
AUCCAACUGAUGAUUCUGAAAUAGGACGAAAUGCGCAUCAAACUGGAU